CACACAACGGGGUUUCGGGGCUGUGGACCCUGUGCCAGGAAAGGAAGGGCGCAGCUCCUGCAAUGCGGAGCAGCCAGGGCAGUGGGCACCAGGCUUUAGCCUCCCUUUCUCACCCUACAGAGGGCAGGCCCUUCAGCUCCAUUCUCCUCCAAGGCUGCAGAGGGGGCAGGAAUUGGGGGUGACAGGAGAGCUGUAAGGUCUCCAGUGGGUCAUUCUGGGCCCAGAGAUGGGUGCUGAAGCUCCCACGCCUGCCUGUGAAAAUGGAGUCCUCUUUCACCUGGGAGAGCCAGGUGCUGCCCCGAGAAGGAUGCAUUUAUGGCUUCGUGAAGUCUUUCCUGACCCCCGAUGCUGCUGACUAUAGAGACAAAGUCUCACUAUGUUGCUCAGGCUGGUCUUGAACUCCUGGCCUCAAGCGAUCCUCCCACCUCAGCCUCCCAAAGUGUUGGGAUUAUAGACAUGAGCCACUGCACCUGGCCGACCUUGGGCAAGUUCUUAAACCCUUCAAAGCCUCAUUUUUCUCCAAUCACAAAAGGGAAAGAUGGUAAUAUUUUCCCCACCAAAUUCUUGUCGGAUGCCCUCACAGAAUUGAGAUUAUGUACGUAAAACACCAGGUGCCUAACCCGGCACAGAGCAGGAGGGCUAAGCGUGACAUCCAGCACGUGGUCAGUGGAAUCCAGUAUUCCUACCCACCUCUCUAGUCUCCCCUCCACCCCUCUCCCUUUCAGAGGCACCAAGCUGCUUGUGGUCUUGUCUAUUCCCACUCCCUGCCUGACUGAACAUUUUCUCCACCUCCUGAUCAUCAGCAGCAGAAACUGGCUGCUCUUCCUCCUGGGUAGACAGCCAGACUGUAUUUCCCAGCUGCCCCUGCAGUGAGAUGUGGCCAUCGGAGCCAGCAUUGGCCAAUGGACUCUGCAUGGGAGUGACGCAUGCUGCCUCCAGGCUUGUCUCUAAAACCUCCCACGUGUCCUCCGCCUGCUCUUCCCACCUCCAAGGAGCACGGCAAUUGUGGAAGACCCAGAUUAGUGAUGGCAGAACCAUAGAUGGGAGGAACCUGGGUCCCUGACUUAAAGUAUCAUGGAUUUGGAUGUUCCCUUAGUGAGAAAUAAACUUCCAUUGUGUUUAAGCCUUUA
rnacentral:lncRNA from 10 species